rnacentral:rRNA from 1 species
UGGGGAAUAUUGCACAAUGGGGGGAACCCUGAUGCAGCAAUGCCGCGUGGGUGAAGAAGCACUCCGGUGCGUAAAGCCCUGUCAGCAGGGAAGAAAAUGACAGUACCUGACCAAGAAGCCCCGGCUAACUACGUGCCAGCAGCCGCGGUAAUACGUAGGGGGCAAGCGUUAUCCGGAUUUACUGGGUGUAAAGGGAGCGCAGGCGGUAUGGCAAGUCAGAUGUGAAAACCCAGGGCUCAACCCUGGGACUGCAUUUGAAACUGCCAUACUGGAGUGCCGGAGAGGUAAGUGGAAUUCCUAGUG